rnacentral:rRNA from 1 species
AAACCAGCACCUCAAGUGGUCAGGAGGAUUAUUGGGCCUAAAGCAUCCGUAGCCUGUUCUGUAAGUUUUCGGUUAAAUCCAUUAGCUCAACUAAUGGGCCGCCGAAAAUACUGUAGAACUAGGGAGUGGGAGAGGUAGACGGCAUUCGGUAGGAAGGGGUAAAAUCCUUUGAUCUAUUGAGGACCACCUGUGGCGAAGGCGGUCUACCAGAACACGAUCGACGGUGAGGGAUGAAAGCUGGGGGAGCAAACCGGAUUAGAAACCCGAGUAGUCC